UUGUGUUGUUGGAAAAGAGUGUUUGCUAUGACUAGCUUGUUCUCUUGACAGAACUCUAUUAGCCUUUGCCGCCCCACCCAAAAGGUCUGGGGCAGAGUGGGGCAAGAAAGAUCACCUUGAACAGUUUGGAAGCCAUGGUUGACCUUACCCUGUUCUGUCUUCACCCAGAUGAAGUUUCCUUCUGUCUUCAAGGGCUUGGAAGGACGGCCGGUCCUUGGACUCCACCGCUGGGGCUCCCACGCCUCCGUGCCCCAGGCCGCCCCCUCGCUGGCUUUUGUUCCAGCCAGCCCCCCUCCGGAUGCUGUGGCGAUCGAGAAGCUCCAGGCGUUCGUUGUCCGCUGCCACCGGCUUUUUGUCCUGACCGGAGCAGGAAUCUCCACUGAGUCCGGCAUCCCGGACUACCGCUCCGAAGGCGUGGGCCUUUACGCCCGGUCUGACCGACGGCCCGUCCAGCACACCGAGUUUCUCCGCAGUGCUGCAGCCCGGCAGAAAUACUGGGCCAGGAACUUUGUGGGUUGGCCCCAGUUUUCCUCCCACCAGCCCAACGUGGCACACCGGGCUCUGAGCAACUGGGAACGGCAGGGGAAGCUGCACUGGCUGGUGACCCAGAACGUGGAUGCCCUCCAUACCAAGGCUGGGAGUCAACGCAUGACCGAGUUGCAUGGCUGCACACACAGGGUCGUGUGCCUCAGCUGUGGGGCCCGGGUCUCCCGUGUGCAACUCCAGGAACAUUUUGAGGCCUUGAACCCCACAUGGACAGCCGAGGCCCACGGCGUGGCCCCCGAUGGAGACGUCUUUCUGCCAGAAGAGCAGGUGCGCCAUUUCCAGGUCCCGUCGUGCAGCAGGUGUGGCGGGGUCCUCAAGCCAGAUGUGACUUUCUUCGGGGACAAUGUGUGCAAGGAGAAAGUGGACUUUGUGUACCAGCGUCUUGCGGAAUCGGAUGCGGUCCUCGUGGCAGGGUCUUCCUUGCAGGUCUUCUCAGCUUACAAAUUUGCACUUGCAGCCCGGGACAGGAAGCUGCCGAUUGCCAUCAUUAACAUUGGCCCCACGCGGGCAGAUUCCUUAGCCUCUUUAAAGCUGAAUUCCCGCUGUGGGGCACUGCUGCCUUCAGUUCUCCUUUGAGUGACAAGGAAAGAUUCAAGGGUAAUUGUGGGGAAGCUGCUGAUUUGGGCUGGAUUGAGCUCCAGGGGGCAGUCAAAUUCCAAAAAGGUAGCCGGAAGGACUGAGGAAGGUAAAGCGGUCCACGGUCUAAAAACAGCUUUGUGGUCUCACAAGAUGAGAGGUUCCCUGCGAUGUGUUGUCUGUUCAGGAAGCCAUUUCACUGGCCAAAACGCCAAGAGGCAUCCUCUUCUAGAAUAGAUUCUCCGUGGAAAUCUUCCCACUACCCUCUUCCUUCAAACCUCUCUUUCCAUCUUUCUCAAAUAAAUGUCUCGCGUUCCAGCUAUUCUCUUGACUCAUUCACCCCCACAGGUGGUUCCAUCGUGGCUUAGUGGAGAUAGAAGAAUCUCUCACAGGGCUUGUAGAGGCCAUACCAACCAGCAGCUCUUGAAAUCAAGGUUGUGGAAAUCCCAGGAGGAAUGAGUCAGCCAGGAGCUGAGUUAAGGAGGAAAAAUCUGGAACGCCGUGGCCUGCGUCACGUGAAACACCUUUUGGCUAGUAAGCCUGGGUGGGACUUACUAUACACUCUCGUAUACGCUCUCAUCUCGCAGUUCAGUGGCAAAUCACAGAUUCCAUUGGACAGUAUUUUACCUUUUUACUACUGUAAAUAUUGUAUCCUGGGCAUGAAACAAACCCCCAAGUGGGGCCUUCUGCAAACUUCAGAUGUCCAUGAAAUUAAAUUGCGCUUUUCCUGCACACCGGCUCUGCUGUUGGUUGCUUUUGAAUGGGGAGUUGAAUAAAGGCAUCCGUUUCAGAUAAA